rnacentral:rRNA from 1 species
UAUACCGUGAAACUGCGAAUGGCUCAUUAAAUCAGUUAUCGUUUAUUUGAUAGUACCUUACUACUUGGAUAACCGUGGUAAUUCUAGAGCUAAUACAUGCUGAAAACCCUGACUUCGGAAAGGGUGUAUUUAUUAGAUAAAAAACCAAUGCCCUUUGGGCUCUUUGGUGAUUCAUGAUAACUUAACGGAUCGCAUGGCCUUGCGCCGGCGACGGUUCAUUCAAAUUUCUGCCCUAUCAACUUUCGAUGGUAAGGUAUUGGCUUACCAUGGUUUCAACGGGUAACGGGGAAUUAGGGUUCGAUUCCGGAGAGGGAGCCUGAGAAACGGCUACCACAUCCAAGGAAGGCAGCAGGCGCGCAAAUUACCCAAUCCCGACACGGGGAGGUAGUGACAAUAAAUACUGAUACAGGGCUCUUUUGGGUCUUGUAAUCGGAAUGAGUACAAUUUAAACCUCUUAACGAGGAACAAUUGGAGGGCAAGUCUGGUGCCAGCAGCCGCGGUAAUUCCAGCUCCAAUAGCGUAUAUUAAAGUUGUUGCAGUUAAAAAGCUCGUAGUUGAAUCUUGGGCCUGGCUGGCCGGUCCGCCUCACCGCGUGUACUGGUCUGGCCGGGCCUUUCCUUCUGGAGAACCUCAUGCCCUUCAGUGGGUGUGUUGGGGAACCAGGACUUUUACUUUGAAAAAAUUAGAGUGUUCAAAGCAGGCCUUUGCUCGAAUACGUUAGCAUGGAAUAAUAGAAUAGGACGUGCGGUCCUAUUUUGUUGGUUUCUAGGACCGCCGUAAUGAUUAAUAGGGAUAGUCGGGGGCAUCAGUAUUCAAUUGUCAGAGGUGAAAUUCUUGGAUUUAUUGAAGACUAACUACUGCGAAAGCAUUUGCCAAGGAUGUUUUCAUUAAUCAGUGAACGAAAGUUAGGGGAUCGAAGACGAUCAGAUACCGUCGUAGUCUUAACCGUAAACUAUGCCGACUAGGGAUCGGGCGAUGUUUCUAUCUUGACUCGCUCGGCACCUUACGAGAAAUCA